GAGGCCUUCAAACCGGACCAACAAGUUCAGCGACUCCCCGACUCGUGGGUCUGAGGACGCCGCCGAGCCUCGGUCCAGCCGGCCUCCUGUCUGUGGGUGUUUGAGUGCUGAGAGGCCUCCGUUGACUCGUCCCACCUGCCGUCUCUGGAGCUGAAGCUGGAUUGGAACAGACCAAAGUACAGUCCAAUCACGAUGCCAGCUGCCUCUCAAAAGGCUCCUUCAUCUGGCAGGUGGCAGCACUUCUUCUGAGGGGAAGCUGAGCUGGUCCAGCAGAACUUUGGAGAUGUGUUCCAGUGGUUGGUGGAUGUGUGGGGAGAUAGAGAGGGACCUUUGAAUUGUUCACAAAGGAAAACAGGGAACCCAUUGGUAGUUUUAGUUUAGGGAGCUACUGAGGUGUGUUUUUGGGUUUUAAGAG
ensembl:lncRNA